rnacentral:rRNA from 1 species
UACGGAGGGUGCAAGCGUUAUCCGGAUUUACUGGGUUUAAAGGGUGUGUAGGCGGGCUAUUAAGUCAGUGGUGAAAUCUCCGGGCUCAACCUGGAAACUGCCAUUGAUACUAUUAGUCUUGAAUUCUGUUGAGGUGGGCGGAAUAAGUCAUGUAGCGGUGAAAUGCAUAGAUAUGACUUAGAACACCAAUUGCGAAGGCAGCUCGCUAAACAGACAUUGACGCUGAGGCACGAAAGCGUGGGGAGCGAACAGG